rnacentral:rRNA from 1 species
GUGACCUCAAAUCAGGUAGGACUACCCGCUGAACUUAAGCAUAUCAAUAAGCGGAGGAAAAGAAACUAACAAGGAUUCCCCUAGUAACUGCGAGUGAAGCGGGAAAAGCUCAAAUUUAAAAUCUGGCGGCCUUUUUGCUGUCCGAGUUGUAAUCUAGAGAAGUGUUAUCCGCGCUGGACCGUGUACAAGUCUCCUGGAAUGGAGCAUCAUAGAGGGUGAGAAUCCCGUCUUUGACAUGGACUACCAGGGCUUUGUGAUGCGCUCUCAAAGAGUCGAGUUGUUUGGGAAUGCAGCUCAAAAUGGGUGGUAAAUUCCAUGAGACCGAU